UCUUCUUUGUUGUCUGUAGUGGACUCGACAUGUCACAGCCUGACGGGCAUGUACAGACAGGUGAACGACUGCCACGUGUAUAUCCGCAAAGGAGAAAGGUGGGCCAUAUCGGCAAAGGGAGCGACUCGCGUCCGUUCACGCCGACCCAUUAGUCAAUUUGCAUGGGGGCCGAACGCUUUUUAUACUUUGGUCGCCGAGACAACAACAAAAAUAAAUUGUGUGGACAUUUUUAACUUUCUAAAGUUCCAAAAACGAAUCGAAGUAACAAUCAGUAAAUCAAUGAAUUGUUUCCAAAUCGAAAUUUUUCUGGUCCUCAUUUGCAUACCUGUUUUUUUUUGUGUGUGUGUGUGUUUUGGAUCUCGUUGUACAGGACAUUGGACCGGUGAAUAAAUUAAAUUUAAAAAAAUUAAAUCAACGUUUCACAUCGGUUAGAUCGUCCAAUUGAUGCUAGGUAAAAGCCCUCAGGCUAUAAAGAUGCUUGAAUACCUUUUAGAUGUAUUUCUGUUUUCAUUUCCUUUUGAUUGCAAAAAAUAGUCAUACACAACAGACGAUGUUGAGAGGCAAAAUAUUUCAAUCUGAGCGGGGGACAUCCGACAUGUUGUCUAAAACAAUUUCAAUCGUUUAUAGAAGAAAAAAAAAUGAAUCAUCUGCAAAAGAAUGAAGGAAUUCAAA
rnacentral:lncRNA from 1 species